rnacentral:rRNA from 1 species
GACGAACGCUGGCGGCGUGCUUAACACAUGCAAGUCGAACGGAAAGGCCCUGCUUUUGUGGGGUGCUCGAGUGGCGAACGGGUGAGUAACACGUGAGUAACCUGCCCUUUACUUUGGGAUAACGUCAGGAAACUGGGGCUAAUACCGGAUAGGAGCUCCUGCUGCAUGGUGUGGGUUGGAAAGUUUCGGCGGUUGGGGAUGGACUCGCGGCUUAUCAGCUUGUUGGUGGGGUAGUGGCUUACCAAGGCUUUGACGGGGAGCCGGCCUGAGAGGGGGACCGGCCACAUUGGGACUGAGAUACGGCCCAGAAUCCUAGGGGAGGCAGCAGUGGGGAAUAUUGCACAAUGGGCGGAAGCCUGAUGCAGCAACGCCGCGUGCGGGAUGACGGCCUUCGGGUUGUAAACCGCUUUCGCCUGUGACGAAGCGUGAGUGACGGUAAUGGGUAAAGAAGCACCGGCUAACUACGUG